CGAGGGGAGCCCUAGCACAGGUGCUGCAUGGCCGUCGUCAGCUCGUGCCGUGAGGUGUUGGGUUAAGUCCCGCAACGAGCGCAACCCCCGCCGUUAGUUGCCAGCGGUUCGGCCGGGCACUCUAACGGGACUGCCCGCGAAAGCGGGAGGAAGGAGGGGACGACGUCUGGUCAGCAUGGCCCUUACGGCCUGGGCGACACACGUGCUACAAUGCCCACUACAAAGCGAUGCCACCCGGCAACGGGGAGCUAAUCGCAAAAAGGUGGGCCCAGUUCGGAUUGGGGUCUGCAACCCGACCCCAUGAAGCCGGAAUCGCUAGUAAUCGCGGAUCAGCCAUGCCGCGGUGAAUACGUUCCCGGGCCUU
rnacentral:rRNA from 1 species